UCUAUGAUAAGAUGAACCUCUGCUCAUGUUUCAUUUAUUGUUCCUUGAAAAAAAAUUACUUAUGCUUGUAACAGAAGUAUGAUUCUAGCUUUGGUGUGUUCUCAUGCGUUGAUUCUUGCAUCUUCUGAGGCUUCACCAACUCAGCGACCAUCGAGCAAAAACUUUGACGAAUCAUUAGAUGAAUUUACAGCCAUAGAAACCAACCGAACGACCCUUAUAAAGAAGGCAGUGGCAAUGGCCUCGGACCUCAAAAGUAACGAGACGCUAAGAUUCCUUGAAGUCGUUGAACAGGCGAAUGAAGUGCUUGUUAAUAUAAGACGCUACUUCGAUGCUGGUAGAGUCAUGUUCGAUGUCAAUGAAGGAAAAUCAAACCUCACUGAAACAGAAGUGAUUGCGAAAACUCAGCUCUUGCAAGAGGAGAAAUUCAUGAAUAUUCAAAUGCACAAGCUGCGUGCAAUCUACAAAACUAUGUAUGCUCAAAUGGAGGACGUGCCAAAAGAGGAAUUGAACAUGCUGCUAAGGCCGGUGAUUGACGCUCUUACGCAGAGUGAUCAGGCGCUGACUCCACUAGGACAAUCAUUUCAAAUUGAGCUGGAUAAAGUAGAAAAGACGAGCAUUUGACAAACCGGACAAUUAUUAGACCAUGAGGUACAAACAUGGAAUUUUACGAUUAAAAUACGCGCACGGCACUGGUCCGUUUAUCGUGAACAAAAUUUCCGGCUAUCGUGAGGGACCGUUCGUUUAACUCCACCUCGAUACAUCCAUAUUCAAUCAGUGUUUUGAGUUAAAUUUCAAUCAAGGUCGCACUCGAUGACGAUUUGACAAACUGGGCGCUGAAAUGCUUAGAUUUGACAAACGAGCUAGCCGUAGGAAGUGCAUAUAAGGUCUAGAUAAACGAUCAAAUUCCGAACAAAUUCUGAUCAAAGUAGACAAGUUGAUGACUGAUGGUCACCAUGCGACAGUCCUCUUUGAUCAAAAUUGGAUGGGCCGUCAAAUUUUGAUCACAAUGAAGUGCCGCCAUUCAUCAUUUCCUACCGCACGGAACAUUUCUGCCAAGUUUUCAUUUUAAAACUAAGCAAAUCAAUGAUUUUAGGACUGAUGACUCCCGACACUUUGGUGGUAAUUGGUUCGGGAAUUUGAUCGUGUAUCGAGCCCUGUAGACAGACAGCAUUGGAUCAGCAUGGCUCAGCACAGAUCAGUCAACAUUUAAUGAUGUCAGAGUUCAUGUCUGGGUUGAAUCAAAUAAUAUUCGCUGAGGAAGUUACUGGAAUUUAAAAUAGACAAACUCCAUUUAUGAAGCUAUUCUGAAUAGUUUUAGGUAACCCAAAACGUAAUGAUAAUGCAGCACCACCAAAAGUUUUGUAUAAAUAUUGUUUUUUUUAAACUUCACAAAUAUAAUAAAAUAAUCGUGCAGGUAUAUGAAUCAGUCCAAGAAUGCUGUAUAAUGUGUAACAUUGAAAUUCAACAUAAAGAUAACUUGAGAUGACUUGGUGGAUUAGUUUAGGUGGAGACUGUGAACGAAUUGAUUCAGUCGCCAGUAUAACUUGUUGCGUCGGCCCGAUUUACAGGAGCGUUUUCCUCUGUUAAGUUCGCACGCCACAUGACAACACCAACAGCAACCAACGAGUGAGCUUUGUAGCCUCCAAGCUUUUACGUAAGAUUCUAUAGCACGUAACGUAAAUUACGUACGUAAACGUAAAUUACAUUCUACGUAGAUUUCUCCGUAAAUUCGGCUGCAUAAAAUUCCUUCGAGAAUUUCUGGUAAAAACGCUUCCGCACAGUCAUUGUGAAUUAUAAAACUGCCCCUUAUUACACCAUUUGGUGACGCUGCGGCAAUGCCACCCCGAAUGAUUCACUUGGAUUCUGAAGUUUGUUACGACCGACGUAAUGUCACAAGCAAACAAUGAUCAAGUGUAGUUGCAGCCAGGCAUUAUGAUGAAAGAGCCUGGACGCCCACAAUUUCAUGGAUAUGCAACACGGACAUCUCCUUAGCACGAAUAGUUGCUUCCAAGAUUUGCCAUUAAGAAAGUCACUGCCUUCAAUUUAUGCAGAUUGUGCUACAAAAUAUGCUACGUCACUACAUUUCCAUGUUAUUUUUGUACAUAGAAGAGGCAAUUCAAAUAGAUGUUUAGUAAACUUCAAAAAUAAAACUAAAUAAAUUAAUUAUAUGUUUAAAUAAAACAGCGGCUGAUUCUUACGGAGGUCACUUAUCUCAUUUUACUGGCGGAAUCCCAAUUUUAUGUUCACUUUAAUUUUCUCCUUCAAUGCAUUUAACAGUAGGCUCAUGCAUUUUGUUGUAUCAAACACUUAUUUAUAGUAUAUUUUGUGCACAACAACGUUGCCUCCUAAUGCAAUUAUCAAAAACUAAAUCUGCAAUCUGUGUAGAACUUAGGCAACAAAUUUUCGGGAACGUUUUUUGUAGACUGUUUUUCGAAAGACAUUCUGCACCGAAUUACGAUUAGAAAAUCUUUUAUUGUCCAUCUGCACGAAAAACGACAUUAGUGAUGGAAAACUAGUAUCGCGUACAGCAAUUGUACCAUAAUGUUCAAUUUUUGCCAAACGCAAUGUUGCCAAUGUUGGGAAAAAUUUUUAAGAACGGUUUCGCAGUGGAAAUAUUAUACAAGUUAUCUUGUUCAAAAAUAAAAAUGUAUCAAAA